GGACUCCUCUGUCACAGGACAUUCACUGUUUAAGCACCACCACUACCUCAGGAAGUCCACUGUCUGUGUGUCAACUCCACUGUUUCAGGACCACAAGUGUCUCAGCACUUCAACUAUCACAGCACUUCUACUGUUCAGGAGCUCAAGAGUCUCAGCAUCUCAAGUGUUACAGGACCUCCUUUGUCCAAGAACUGGACUGUCCAAGCAACACUACUAUUGCGGGACCUCCACUGUCACAGGACUUCCACUGUAGGAGCACUACAACGGUCUAAGGACACCCACUGUCCUAUCACCUCCACUAUCCCAGGAAUUCCACUGUCGUAGCACCACCCAUAGCAACUACAGUGUUUCAGGACAUCAACUGAAGCAAGAUCUCCCAUGAUGCUUCAACUUCACUGCCACAGGAUCUCUACAGUGACAGGAAUACCCCUGUAUCAUCAAUUCCAAUUUUGCAGGACCUCCACUGUAGCAGAACCUUCAAUUGUGCAGCAGCUCCCCUGUUGGACAACUAGGUGCCCAUGACCAACUCGUCAUUUUGGAUGGAUUUAGUCUGGUUGGACUUUCUCAGGAAAGCCUCUUACCUCUUCCAAGGAAGAACUUCAGGAAGAGUUUUACCUACUUGAGCUCCACUGAGUAGAGGCUGGCAAGGGUCUCUAGUGUGACAGUAAUAUGUGGAUCCAGAGCUCCUCAUUGGAAUCUAUGACAUCCAGACAGGAGCACCUGAACC
ensembl:lncRNA